CCACAGAUAAAAUGAUUGUCAUUGUUUUGAUUCAAAAAAGAAAGAAUAUAUAUUUUUUUUGUAAGUUUUAUAAUUUUUAGACUCUGCCACUUAAUUUUUUUUUUUAGAAAAAUAAAGAAAACCAUUUGUUUUCAAAACAUUUAAACAGAAAAAUCAUUUUGAAAACUUUAAAAGAAUUCAGGGAUCGCUAUGAACAUCUUAGAAAGGUUUUAAAAGCACCUAGGACGUCCGCUAAUUUGCGAUUAUCCGACAACUAAUUUUAUUUGGCUAAACGAUUUAAUUUAAACUUGGAGAUAAAAUUUAUUUGAAGUUGUUUGAAAAAAUGAAGUAUUUAAUUUUACUAUCUAAGAAUUGAUUUACGAGAUAAUUCAUCCUUUUAGAAUCUGUUUGAAAUUAAAUUUUAAGUCGAUAAAUCAUUUGCGGCGUUUGCGGGAAUUUGCGGGAAUUUGGAUUGUUUUUAACAAUAACACUAACGACGAAUAAAGAAGAUAAAUAAACAAAAAUAAGAGAGGGAGGGAGAGAAAGAAAGAGAGUAGGGUCCUAAUCCGAGUUAUCUGUACGCCUGGAACGAUAUUUGGACCCAUUUAUUGAAUUUUUGACCCACUUCACCUGUACUUGUCCUAAGUUCUAACAAAAUAAAAAUAAGUAAACUUACAAGGCCUUAGGCCUAAAAUUAAAAAAAUACAACAUAAAAUAAAUACAAAAUAUCGACUUUUGGCCACAAAACUUCAACUCUUCAAUGGCUCCGUAUUCCUCAAUUUCAGGGACCUGUCCAUCAAUUUUAAAGCUGGAAGAGUCAAUGGAGACGUUGAGCCUUUACGGCUCUCGAGUAUGUGGGAAUAAAAUGAAAUCACGGGCAGAUUCUCACAUACAGUCAACAAAAAGAAAAUGGUAAGCGAGACUUAGGAUCAGAAGAAAAUAAUACGACAGUAACACGGCCUAAUAAGCCAUUAUUGUCAUCAAGUUGAAUUCCUGUUAACUUAUGAAAUUCAAAUAAUGCCAAAACUAAAAAUUUCAAUCUCGCAAAAAGUAAACGGAAGUUAAAACAAUGUUAUUGUUUCAACAAAGAGUAGUAAUAUCAUGUCAAGGAAUAGACCUCACAGAAGAGUCGAGCACAAAUCGAGUUAAGAGAAAACAUCUUUUUACAAAUAAUAUUAAAUUUGGAGGCUCAUGUUUUAUACACUUGAACAAGAGGUCAACAAAAAAAGAAUAAUUUAAAACUCAUAUAUGAUUCCAGUGUAUAAUGCCCAUUAAAGCUACAUGGAUAAACAUCAGGAUGCAUUAGGAAAUUUUCGGAGAACAAUUAGGAACAAAUCAGAUACUUUAACACAAACAUAUUUCAAGACCGAUUUUAAGGCUCCGACACCUGGAUGAAGAAGAACGGAAACUAAAGAAAGUAUAAAGAAAAACGCCACUGACCUUUAAGAAUUAAACUCAAAACUCGAAGCAGCACAUGACCUUCAAAAAAACAAUAUAGAGAAAUUGCCUAUGGCCAAAUUAUGAAGAACUUGAAAAGACUGGCUAAGAGCAUAUUCCUAACAUGAUCCAGAAAUAAAGAUCAAGCUCUCAUGAGGCCACAGAAGAUCUAGACAACACAUAUGCUUUCCAUCACAAAAUAGCAAAACAGGUCAAAAACAACUAUAUGUUAAAGGCUGAAAUUUCCAGUUCUUUCGACCUAUUAAACAAUACAAAACAAACUCAAGCUAUAUUUAGGCAUAUAGUGAGUUAACAAAACUCCAAUCUUAUUUUUAAAAGUAAAACAACGGGACGAGCAGAAGAGAUUAACAUAUUUGUAGUCCUGUUGUAGAGGACACAAACUUAAAUUCAAACUUGUAUCAAAAAAAAUAAUCAAACGAGCUGCCACAUGAUUCACGCAACUCCUUCCAAAUACAGGACGAAAGGGAUUCCAUUCUUUAAACUAAAAGCUCGGAGCAGUAACAAGACGAAUUACAUAAUAAACAAACAUAAAAAAAAAGGAAGAUCUUAGCCAAAGGAACUCAUGGAGAACCAAAAACAACAGAAUACAGACAUAUCAUUUUAACAAGAUUGGCUUAAACACAUCAAAUAAAAAUCCACUUUGAAUCGACAGAGUAUGAAACAAUAUUCGACAUAUUAAAGUCAGAACAUGUGAAAGAGUUGCGAGUUGUUUACCUUGUUCUAGGCGGCUACUGGGAAAACGACGAUCAGUGAGCUUAUUUUCACUAUGGAAUUCAGAACGUGAAUCAAUAGAAGAUAACUCUAAGCAAGAUCUUUGACACCAAACAGAAUAUUUAGAAGUAUUUAUGCCUGUAUAUCUUGUUUUAUAUUUGUUUACACGACUUUGAAACUUGUAAAAAAGAAUUUCUCCUCACUAAACCACUUUGUGAAAAAUAUUUCUCUUUUGUUUUGGUAUCUCCCUCUUCUCUGCCUUCAACUCCAAAAAUCACCCCUUUGAUAGAAUAGAAAGAGACCUUAUAUAGCGAUGGAUUAGGAUUACAAUUUUCUUGAAAGUUGGGGCGGAUACGUGUCCAAAAUCCAGACCCAUUUUGGAUUUCUCCCUUUCAAAAUUCCAAAAAAAAAAAAAGUUUCACCAAUUUGGAAGAACAAACUUUUUCUGAACCUUCAACCUUAUUCAGAAAAAGGGGAAAAGGGGAAAUCCACGGCUAGGAACAACUCUAAUUGUCCUUGCAACAUUACGUGGCUUGAUCUUAUGCCCAAAGGACAGAAAUAGUGCUGGCAAAACUGAAAAGCAAUCAUGCUCUGCCAUGCGAGCGUACUAUCGAGAGGGUGACGAGGGGCGCUUGGCGACACGCGUCGACGUCUUGAGCCCCGGCGCUAUUUCACGCGUGAAGUCGCUAGAUUGCUACUUGUCUUUUUCAUGCGCUGAGAAGGGGAAACGAGUCAAGGGCUGAUGUCAAUUAGCUUGAAUCACUGUCAAUUAGAAAGAUGCCUAGG
rnacentral:lncRNA from 1 species